rnacentral:misc_RNA from 1 species
AGAAAUGGCAUGUCAGCCAUCUUGAAUAAAAUCUAAUAAUGGCAAAAAGUGAUACUACAAAUAAAAAUUAAAUGCAGUUAAUCAAUCUCAUUGUUUUCAAAUUACAAAUAUAAAUUUUUGUACUUAAUUUUAAAGUUCACUUAGCUUUAAAAUAAUUAGUCUUAACAACAGCCGUACUAAAAAGAGAUCUCCAAUAAAACAAAUCAGCUGUUAUCCGUCAAUCGAUGUCAACAAAAUUACAUAAUUUUGUUUGGAAAAACAGUGAAGCAUAUUAUUUUCGAGUGUCAUUUUGAAAUUCAAAAAAACAUGUACAUUUAAAUCUAAUUAAUAGUGAAAUUUUAAAAGUAAAUGUAUUCAUUUAUGAUAAAUGUGUUGGCGUGUUUUUCGUGUUUAUGUUUAGAAUGUAGCCAAAAAUUAUAGUCAUGGAUCGCAGCAAUAUUAUCGAAUCGGGAGGUUUUUAUUUUAUACAUAACUUUGAUUCGGGAAAUCUAGGACAUGUGGAGCGAGUGCCCACCGAGUUUAUUGCGCCAACUCUCAACCCGAAAACGAACGCGGCAGAGACCCCAGACUAUGAGUUCAAUUUGUGGACACGGCCAGAUUGUGCGGGCACAGAAUUUGAAAAUGGAAACCGUACUUGGUUCUAUUUUGGUGUACAGGCCAGUGAGCCUAAUAUUCAGGUACGGCUUAACUUGAUAAACCUGAACAAGCAAGGCAAAAUGUACAACCAGGGCAUGGCCCCUGUUACACGUACAUUACCUGGCAAGCCACAGUGGGAGAGAAUAAGGGAUCGUCCUAUCCAUUCUACGGACGACAACACAUUCACUCUCACUUUUAGAUACAGAACAGCUGAGAAUCUCAAGGCAACAACAUUCUUUGCAUUCACUUACCCGUUCUCGUUUGCGGAGCUACAAAUUGCACUUAACUCUAUUGACCUGAAGAUGUUACCUCUAGCAACCCAACAAUCUGUCGAUGACAUUUACUACUGCAGAGAAUGUUUAAUAUAUUCUUUAGAAGGAAGGCGAGUGGAUUUGCUGACUAUAUCAUCCCAUCAUGGCAUAACAGCAGAAAGGGAGGAGAAGUUAAGGAAUCUAUUUCCAGAAAACCAGGACAGACCAUUCAAGUUUACUAAUAAAAAGAUCAUCUUCAUAUCUGCAAGAGUGCAUCCAGGGGAGACCCCCUCAAGCUUUGUCUUCAAUGGUUUUCUGAACUUGCUGUUAAAUAGGAAUGACCCCAUUGCGAUACAGCUGCGUAAGCUGUACGUGUUCAAGAUGAUCCCAUUCCUGAACCCUGAUGGAGUAGCGAGGGGUCACUAUAGAACAGACACGAGGGGGGUGAAUCUAAACAGGGUAUACUUAAACCCUUCUCUAACAUGUCAUCCUACUGUGUAUGCAUCCAGGGCGCUUAUAAGGUACUAUCACUUUGGUCAGGAAAAAGAAGAGGAUAUUUGCGAGGAGACCAAAAGUUUCACGUCGCGGAGUAUACAGAACAUAAGCGAAAGUACUGAGUUAACUGAGAAAAAGAAGAAGAAAGUUUCAAACUCGCCCUCUCACAAAAGCGACAAGCAAAAGGAUAAGGCCAAAGCCUCUAACAAGUCUUCCAUCAUUCUCAAGGACACAUCCCUCGAGAGCUGCCGGGACGUGCAGUCACUGAGCGGCGAGGCGUCUAACUUGGCUGAUCAGGUUUACGAUAUGAAGCUCCAAGAGAAGCCUUCGCAAAUGAGCGACAUAUCCUCCAACAUGUUGACGACGAACGUGGAAGAAACCUCGUCGCUUCUCAACGACAAUGUACUGCGAUCAUGUCUGGGGUCCAACGUUCAUCUCAGCACGAGCGAGGAGUUGAACAUCCAGGGCAGCAACCCUUUGAAACCCUUGAGAGACACUCUGAAGAACAGUAUCAGUUUACUGAUGGAGUCAAGCUCUUGCGUUCUUGACGAGGGUACCGGAGCAGAGACAAAAGGACCCGCCAGUAAAGUGAAGAUGGGCUGGUGUCGCGAGUGUCGGCUGGCGGUUGAGCGUCUUGAAGACACCAUGCCCGGGAUUACUAACCUCGUGCCCGGAUAUAGCGCUACCAUGAUUUCAGAGAACGAUGCAGACAACAAUGAAAGCGAUGAUAACGUAUACUUCUGUACUAAUUGUUUCAAGAGAUACAUUGUUACCGAAAACAAUGAAGAAAUUAAGCUGUUGUGCGCCGUGGUGGAGACAGCGUCGCACGCCAGCGUGGGCGUGUCCGCGGGCGACGGCAGCGACGUGCGCGCGCCGCCCGCGCCGCGCUCCCCCGCGCCCAGCCUCGGCGACUCGCUCGUACCGCAACCACCAUCGAAGGACGAGAAGCCAAAGCUUACGAACACCAAGGACAAGCAGCCAAAGAAGAAGCUCCCCACGGUCACUCCUGUGCCGUUGCUUCCUCGAGUCACACACAAGGAAAUAGAAUCUGGACUGUACUUGUACAUUGAUUUACACGGACAUGCAUCCAAAAAAGGCAUAUUCAUGUACGGCAACCACUUCGAGGAGCUGGAGAGCUGCGUGGAGUGCAUGCUGCUGCCGCGCAUCAUGUCGCUCAACAACCUGCACUUCCACUUCUCCUCGUGCAACUUCACCGAGCGGAACAUGUAUCUCAAAGACAGACGCGACGGCAUGUCACGCGAAGGUUCAGGCCGCGUCGCAGUACUGAAGGCCACCGGCCUGGUGCGCUCCUACACCCUGGAGUGCAACUACAACACAGGCCGGCUGGUCAACGUGCUGCCGCCCACUGCGCGCGAGGGGCCCGGUGCUGUGCCGCCUGCCACGCCGCUGCCGCCCAAAUACACCCCCCACAUAUUCGAAGAGGUGGGUCGUUCCCUGGGCUCGUCUAUCCUGGACCUGACGGGGCAGCACCCCAACUCGCGCAUCCCGUGCUCGGAGCACCGCAACCUGUCCGCCGUGCGCGAGUGGCUGCGUGCGCACACGCGCACCAUGCGCCCGCAAUGUUAAAACGCCCCCAAACUUCUAAAUAAAAUAAAAUUACCAACUUAAAAACAUAAUAAUUUGGUUGACGAUGUCUCGUCUCCGACCGAAGACUGCGUCGCCGACGAGGGUGCCGCUCUACGCUCGGUCUAAAGCCAAAGUGACGGACGAACGCA